rnacentral:rRNA from 1 species
GUGGGGAAUCUUGCGCAAUGGGCGAAAGCCUGACGCAGCCAUGCCGAGUGAAUGAUGAAGGUCUUAGGAUUGUAAAAUUCUUUCACCGGGGACGAUAAUGACGGUACCCGGAGAAGAAGCUCCGGCUAACUUCGUGCCAGCAGCCGCGGUAAUACGAAGGGGGCUAGCGUUGCUCGGACUUACUGGGCGUAAAGGGCGCGUAGGCGGACAGCUUAGUCAGAGGUGAAAGCCCAGGGCUCAACCUUGGAAUUGCCUUUGAUACUGGCUGUCUUGAGUUUGGGAGAGGUGAGUGGAACUCCGAGUGUAGAGGUGAAAUUCGUAGAUAUUCGGAAGAACACCAGUGGCGAAGGCGACUCACUGGCCCAAUACUGACGCUGAGGCGCGAAAGCGUGGGGAGCAAACAGGAUUAGAAACCCGGGUAGUCC